rnacentral:rRNA from 1 species
AGAGUUUGAUCCUGGCUCAGGAUGAACGCUGGCGGCGUGCCUAACACAUGCAAGUCGAACGAAGCUUGACGGAUGAUUUCUUCGGAAUGAAACUAGAUAUGACUUAGUGGCGGACGGGUGAGUAACACGUGAGCAACCUGCCUUUCAGAGGGGGAUAACGGCUGGAAACGGUCGCUAAUACCGCAUGAUGUGUUCGGAUGGCAUCAUCUGAACAUCAAAGAUUUAUCGCUGAAAGAUGGGCUCGCGUCUGAUUAGAUAGUUGGUGGGGUAACGGCCUACCAAGUCUACGAUCAGUAGCCGGACUGAGAGGUUGAACGGCCACAUUGGGACUGAGAUACGGCCCAGACUCCUACGGGAGGCAGCAGUGGGGAAUAUUGCACAAUGGGGGAAACCCUGAUGCAGCAACGCCGCGUGAAGGAUGACGGUUUUCGGAUUGUAAACUUCUUUUCUUAGUGACGAAGACAGUGACGGUAGCUAAGGAAUAAGCAUCGGCUAACUACGUGCCAGCAGCCGCGGUAAUACGUAGGAUGCAAGCGUUAUCCGGAUUUACUGGGUGUAAAGGGAGCGCAGGCGGGACUGCAAGUUGGAUGUGAAAUACCGUGGCUUAACCACGGAACUGCAUCCAAAACUGUAGUUCUUGAGUGAAGUAGAGGCAAGCGGAAUUCCGAGUGUAGCGGUGAAAUGCGUAGAUAUUCGGAGGAACACCAGUGGCGAAGGCGGCUUGCUGGGCUUUAACUGACGCUGAGGCUCGAAAGUGUGGGGAGCAAACAGGAUUAGAUACCCUGGUAGUCCACACUGUAAACGAUGAUAGCUAGGUGUGGGGGGUCUGACCCCUUCCGUGCCGGAGUUAACGCAAUAAGCUAUCCACCUGGGGAGUACGA